rnacentral:rRNA from 1 species
AUUGAACGCUGGCGGCAGGCUUAACACAUGCAAGUCGAGCGGUAGCACAGGGGAGCUUGCUCCCUGGGUGACGAGCGGCGGACGGGUGAGUAAUGUCUGGGAAACUGCCUGAUGGAGGGGGAUAACUACUGGAAACGGUAGCUAAUACCGCAUAACGUCGCAAGACCAAAGAGGGGGACCUUCGGGCCUCUUGCCAUCAGAUGUGCCCAGAUGGGAUUAGCUAGUAGGUGGGGUAAUGGCUCACCUAGGCGACGAGCCCUAGCUGGUCUGAGAGGAUGACCAGCCACACUGGAACUGAGACACGGUCCAGACUCCUACGGGAGGCAGCAGUGGGGAAUAUUGCACAAUGGGCGCAAGCCUGAUGCAGCCAUGCCGCGUGUGUGAAGAAGGCCUUCGGGUUGUAAAGCACUUUCAGCGAGGAGGAAGGUGGUGAGCUUAAUACGUUCAUCAAUUGACGUUACUCGCAGAAGAAGCACCGGCUAACUCCGUG